rnacentral:rRNA from 1 species
UCAGUUAAGAUCGUAGGCUGCAACUCGCCUACGUGAAGGAGGAAUCGCUAGUAAUCGCAGGUCAGCAUACUGCGGUGAAUACGUUCCCGGGCCUUGUACACACCGCCCGUCACACCAUGGAAGUUGGCCACGCCCGAAGCCGUUACUCCAACCCUCGGGAGGAGGACGUCGAAGGUGGGGCUGAUGACUGGGGUGAAGUCGUAACAAGGUAUCCGUACCGGAAGGUGCGGAUGGAUCACCUCCUAA